UGUGUGUGUGUGUGUUGCAGGGCCCUGCCUACCUUGAAUAAAAUAGAUUGAUAGUAGCAUUUCUAUUUUAUGGCAAAAUAUUCACGUAAUUCAAUAAAAU